rnacentral:lncRNA from 1 species
CUAGAGAAGUCCGUCUAUAAUUUAUCUGAUGUAGAAGCUUAUCUGAAGAUUAUCCGCUGGAGAGGUCUGGUUACAUGAGGAAUCCGACAGAAGGUCGACCGAUAGUGAAAUUCAAAAGGUGCUAUAGAAGGUUGAUCGAUAGAAGAGUCCGGAAGGCAUUGUGGAAGUUCGUCCACUGGAGGAGUCUGAAGGACACUGUGGAAGGUCGACUGCUAGAGGGGUCUGGAGGGAAUUAUGGAAGCUCGGACGGUCGGGGGAGUUCAGAAAGAUGCCGCAUAAGGUCGGAAGCCAGAAGAGUCCU